rnacentral:lncRNA from 1 species
CAGGAUUCAGGGCCGACAGAUGCUAAGAAAGUCAUUGUGGGGAAGGAAGUGAAAAAUGAUGCUUCUUUGGUUGCAAAGGAGGAACAAUGCCAAACUGUGCUAUCUCCUGAGCUAGCGGAUCCUAAAGCAGUUGGAUCUUCAGCCAAAGUUGAAAUCCAUGAAGGGCGUGCAAACAAAUGCAACUCUCAACCUGCUUCAGUCGAUUCCAAAGGUGAACAUGAUCAUAACUCCAACUUGUACCCCUCAACUAAUACUAAAGUUGUCAGUAUGUCUAAUAUGGAGUCAUCUGCAGGUGAAAAUCCGGAUGCCUGUACUGUCCAUAGAAAAGUUGAAGAUGGUUGUACAGACAAAGAUAGCGCUGUUGAAUCUGCAUUGGGCAGCCAGUGUAGCUUGGUUGUUUCCAAUAGAAAUUCAAAAUUGAUCCUUGCCGGGGAAUCUUCAUUGUCUGCUGCUGAUAAACAAGCCCAGGGUUUGUUAAAGUCAACUAAUAAUAAGCAGCUUCUGGGUGUAUCAGACCACCCACGAACCUUUGAUAGACGUGACAGUAUUGCUGGCAAAUUAGAUUUGAUGGCUACGGAGGUGAAAAAGGCUGAUGCUGUUCGAGAUAGUAGCACAGUGCAGAAUGAGGAUGAAAAGAAGGAACAAGCUACUUCCUCUUUGGCUGAUGUUACCAAACUUGUAGGAGCAGCGUCCCCACUUGGUGUGGCAAAUGUGAUUAAGGAGACGAAAGAAUCAAAAGACAGUUCCAGUGAAUCCAAUGUUCAUGUAAAACCUGAAGGUCUUAAUUCUCAGCAAAGUGAGCAUAGUGCAAAGCAGAGUUCAAAGAAAUCCAGUGAUGGUGUGAGUGGAAAAGAGGACGGAAAAGAAGACCUAGUCUCAUCAGAUGAGGGUUCUUCUCUAGCUGCUCGCACAAAGUCAAAUUCUACAGCCAAGCUUGACUUUGACUUGAAUGAAGGGAUACCUGGGGAUGAUUGCCAUCAGUCUGAGCCAGCUGUCUCACCUGUUAUAUGUUCCUCAGCGAUCCAUUUACCUGGUCUUUCGCCAUUCACUUCACCUGUUACAAGUGGGCUGCAGCCGGCUCCAAUAACAGUAGCUGCUCCAGCUAAAGGACCCUUUGUUCCCCCUGAUAACCUACUAAGAGCGAAGCCUGAGAUUGGGUGGAAAGGUUCAGCAGCUACAAGUGCAUUUCGUCCUGCUGAACCGAGGAAGGUGUUGGAGAUGCCUGUCACCACACGUGACAUUCCAGUAUCUCAUACUGCUGGGAAGCAGUCUCGUCCCACCCUUGGCUUUGAUUUGAAUGUUGCAGAUGACCAAGCUCUUGAGGAAGAUGUCCCGCAGAGUUCUGCACAGACUACUUGUUCUGAAUCUGGAAAUACCAGAAGUCGUGAUGGCUCUUCACGAAGUGCUGGCAUUGAGUUUGAUUUGAACAGAGCUGAUGAAGUUGCAGACAAUGGCCAAUUUGUACCAAAUGCUGCACACAGAGUUGAAGUCCCGUUGUUACCAGCAAGAGCAUUACCUGGAGUCUUCUCUAAUACUGGCAUGAAUAGCUCGAGAGACUUUGAUCUUAAUAGUGGGCCGGGCCUUGAUGAUGCUGGCACCGAACCCACACCAAAGAAUCUACCUACUAAAAAUGCAGGCAGUAUUCAAUUCCUACCACAAGUUCCUGGCGUUAGGAUGAAUAAUGCUGCCAUGAGUAAUAUAUCACCAUGGUUUGCCUCUGCCAACCCUUGUGGUCCAGUGCCGAUGCAAUCAUUUUUGCCUUCUAGAGGAGAACAGCCUUACCCAAUUGAGGCAGCACCUGGAACCCAGCGGAUUAUUGCGCCUACAGCUGAAAGUGGUCAAUUUGGAGGUGAUCCCAGCAGGGCUCCAGUUAUUUCAUCGUCUCCAACAAUGGUUUUUCAUCAGCCUGCAUAUCCGUAUGCAGGAUUUGCUUUUCCUCCCAGUGUUCACCUUCAAACACCGGGAUUUUCAAUUGGGUCAACAACAUUUCCCAACUCUGUUCCGUCAGGGGUGCCGUAUUUUCCUGCCAUUUCUCCAUCGCUUGUUGGGCCAACAGGUGCAUUACCAUCCCAUCAUUCAAGGCAGUAUGCAAUAAAUCUUGUUGAGGGCAGCAGCAGCAGUGGACGUGACAAUAAUCGUAAAUGGGAAAGUCAGGGCCUUGAUCUUAACUCAGGCCCUGGAAGUAUAGAUCUAGAAGGAAAGGAUGAACGGGCACCUUUACAAAUUAGACAAAAUUUGAUCCCACCCCCACAUGGCUUUGCAGAGGAGCAAGGAAGAAUUUACCAAAUUCCAGUUGUAGGAACAAAGAGGAAGGAACCUGAUGGCAGUUGGGACACAGAAAGAUCUACAUACAAGCAAUUAUCGUGGCAAUGAGGGCUCUGAAGGAGAUCAGUUAGCAGCGACUUGUCUGCACUGAGCAUGUAAGUAGUUUGAUUUCGACUUUUGAGACCUGUUUGAUUUCUUACUGUAAGUUGCUAAUCAUGUGAAAUUUGUGGAAUUGUGCAUACUUACAGAGGUCCUGCAAUGUAGAACUUGGGCUGGGUGUUCUUCCGUCACUGGACUAUACUCAUGGAUCCAUCCCAACGACGAUGAUGCCGGGUUGUGAGGAAAGAAGAAACUUUGCUGUAAUUGUUGUAGAUUUUUCUUAGCUGUUAGGCUUUUGGUUCUAAUUUACUCAGGAGGGUAUGGCUUUGGAGGUGGAAUCUUGUUGAUCCUGAGCUCUGGAGCCGCUGUAAUUAGACCGUCCGCUCUGUUUGUUGGUGAUAAACUGUUGAGCACAUGCUGCAGCUUUACAUAAAAAUUUAGAUGUGACUUUGUACUUUGUUGGGGAAGCGUUACUUCAGCUGACCAUGUAAGCACUGCUGCACUGGUGCAGCGUCUAGCGUGACGAGUUGCGCCGUCAUGUAUCUUGUGUUGCCGUGCAGCUGUAUGUAUAAGAAUUCCAGCAGAUCAGCAAAGUUAUAUUUUGUUGCUGUUUCUCUGACAUCGACUCUUAUCGACAUCCGGUUUGCAUCAUGCUCCAGUGAUUCUCUCUUUUUUACUUCUUUUUUCUUCUAGGCACCUCAUGUCUGUUGCCUGUUGGCGCCCCAAUCAGUUGGUUGGGGCCGCUACAAAUAAUUAAAUCAGUGUGUCGUUCUCAAGAUUAUUGUGACAUGACCCUAUUAUUGCGGUAAUGCAUUCGUGGAUUACUAUGGCACUGAUGUUGCCAGUGGUGUGCUUCUCAGAUGUUGCUUAGCUGUUGCGUAUUGUUACCAAUUUGGUCUAAUAUCUCACCCUCACGUGAUACCCUUUCAGCUUCUUUAACUGUCAUUUGAACUUGCUGAUGUAUUUCGGUUAUCCCUUUUCCGUAGCUAAAUAUUUGCAAGUUCACCUUGAGAAGUUGCAUCUGUGCAAAACAACUGAUUUUUUCAGAAAAUCAAUUCAUUUAGGAACUUAGGACAGCCAUACAAAAGAACUAUGCGUCUUCUAGUCACAGAGCUGUAAAGCAUGCAUUUUGAUUUCUGUUUGGCAUGAUUGCAUCAAUUCCUUUUACUGGACUAUUUUGUUAAGGUAAUCAUGCUUUUCUUCGAUUAUUUUGGGGGCCUGUUUCUCGAGCUCAUAUUUAAAUUUCUUUAGGUCGAACUAACUGCUGGCCGUAUAUUCCUCCCUAGACCAUGACUAAUAACAUAGUCAUCUUCUGGUUAUAUAACGUUGCCAUGCCAUUUAGAGCCAUCAAUCAAUAGUUAUUAUUUAUAUAAUUGGAUGGUUAAGCCUGGCUAUUAGGUUGCCCAUCUCCUCUCUUUCUUUCUCCUAUAUAUGCAUUUUGAAGCACGUGUAGGUGUAGAUGCCGCCUGUUGCAUGUGAUACGACUUCUCUCUUUUUCAUUGCACCUCUCCUCCGAGUAGGAAAACUUGCCAUGUAAGAGCAUCUUCGGCAGAUUCAUUUUUCUCUUUACUCUUUUCAGCCAUAAAGAGGAUUUAGGGGAGAAAAACGUGCUCCAGCAAAUCACCUUUCAAUUUUACUUUUUUCUUUAUUUUUUCUCAAUCUCCUUUGCUUCCCUCCCUCUUCCCCUUUCUAAAGGGGAAUUUACUCCUCUCCAUUUCCUUCUUUUUCUCUGCGACCGUAGGAUCUCCCAGGUGAUAUGGCCUCCUGGCCUCUUGAUGUUCCGCUCCUGGCGCCGCCGCCUGGCCCUGCCUGGCUCGUCGCGCCGCCCUGUCCGCGCCGUCGGGGGCCGCCGCCCGCUCCUGCCCAGCUUGCCUCCAAGCCACGCAUGGACGCGAUGCUGACCGCUACCCCAUCCCAGGCCACGCACGGGCCCGACGCUGGCCGCCGCCCCAUCCCACGCCGAGGGCCGCCGCCGUCCGAGCCAUGCGCGGCCGCGCCGCCGCCAUCCAGCCAUGCGCGGCCGCGCCAAAGGCCGCCGCUGUCCGUCUCGGUGCAGUCGCACCCUCAUCCCGACCGUGUGCGGGCGUGCCGCCGGAAGCCACCGGAGUUGAAGGGAGAGAGAAGGUAGAAAGGGAGAGAGAGGAAGAAGAAAGGUCAUUUUACCCAUUAGCAGAUGGACCCCACGUGUCAGGAGAAAAGGAAGGGAAAUGCAGCCUAUCUCCUUGAAAUUCUCCAAUUGUAAAAGAGGUGAUAGAGGGGUAAGGGAAAGCUGUUGGAGAUGCUCUAAGCAGGUUACAAGGUCUCCUUUGGUAGGGCUCCUUGCGAGGGGCUCCUCGUGCGGAGCUGGAGCCGCGGAGCCAUUUUUUGGGAUCCGCCAUGCAAGCCUAGAACGACUCUGGUUCCUCCCAAAUGUGCCAAAAAACGGCUCCGCGAUCGAUGCCGUUUGGUGCGGCUCCGGCUCCUCCGUGCUUCGAUAAGCGCGCGGAGCCGGAGCCAAGGAGUCCUAAGUCACUUUUUUUAUACUUAGGGUUGUCACGGGAGGUAACCACUAUUACAUUAACGGUUUGUAUGCGCAUCUUUUUUUUAUUUUUACUAGGAGCGGACCAGGCUACCCGCACGCGUUGUCCUCCCCUAGAAAGGGCUAUCUUUGAACCGCCUCUACGGAUAUCUCUUUUCUAGCUACGAAAAGUCGAUGUGGGCCACAUGACCACCCCAAGAGGCUAAGAAAUAGUGGUUUGACCGGUUCUACAAAUGGUAUAUGUAGUAGUGAACUAUGAGGGUAGGAAGGACAAGACAAUCUUUUGAACUUUUUUCUCACCAUUUUUCGUUUUUUUAAAUUUUAAUUAUGCAUUCACCUAACUAUAGCUAGGGCAAAACCAUCUUUUUGACCUUUUCCUCACUAUUUCCUUUUUUAUUCUCAGUGCACCUAACGGGGGCAAAGCGAGCCUUCGGUUUAGGAAAAAUGUGUGCGGGUGUGGUGGUGGUGGGUGGGGGUUUCAGGGGUGGGGUUUCACAAAAUCUAAAUAAUUAGGGUAAAAUCACAAUUCAAAUGUAAAGUGGAGUAAGAAUAUAAUGGUUGGAAUUUUUCACAACAACGCACAGGGUAUAACUAGUAUCAUUAAUGUUUGUUACAAAUAUACUGGUUUCAUGUACUACCAAAUUGUAUGCUCUAUGAUCUUAAUUUUUUUUACCGAAAUCAGCAGGGAAGCCCCUACCUAUUUUUAAUUUUUUUUAUUCCAAUCCCGUUUAAUUCGCUCCCACAGGGAGUUGAAUCCGAGUCUACUGAGUACUACUCAGGUGCUUUAACCACUAGGCUAGAGGUAAAGAUCGUUUUAGCAUUCAGAUUUUUAUCUCACAAAAAGUGCAUCUUUAACUUCUAGUGAACCUCAUCUAAUUAAAGCAUAACCAUAUCAAUAUAAAAACAUAUGGAGAAGUGUAUGGAGCCAAUUAAUUGAAAUGUCUAAAUGUCGUCCAAUCUUAUUGAAACGAAAAUACUGGUAGAAAACUCACCUUCAGUCCCGGUUGGUAGGGAGCAAAUCUCCCGAAAAUCCAUCCGGAAUAAAAAAAGAAAUCCCGAGGAUCCCCUACAUGUUCAAGUCACAAGUCACACGGUUUUUCACGCGAAAUAUGCGCGGUGUGUGGGAUUCGAACCCACAACCUCAAGCCUCGCGUGUAGCUUCAUUGCCAUCCCACCUACACGGCACAUCUAACUAUAUAGGAGAUGCAAUUCUUUUGUAUUAACUCGUGGGGGACCCUUUUAUCCCGGUUGGAAACACCAACUGGGACUAAAGACCCUCUUUUAUCCCGGUUGGUAUUACAAACCGGGAUAAAAGGGUUCGAGGGAUUUAGUAUUUUUUUUAGCCAUCCAUGAGGACUAUUUUAUCCCGGUUGGUGUUACCAACCGGUAUAAAAAUGAAAUCUUUUAUCCCGGUUGGUGUUUCAAAUCGGGAUAAAAGAGCUUUCAGGAUCUUUUUUUUCCACUAGCUUUUGCAACCAGGAUAAAAGGUCCCGAUUGGUGAGCCCCCCGCAAGUAACCGAGCUUUAAUCCCGGUUCGUGAAUCUUUUAUCCCGGACUAACUUCAAACCGGGAUAAAAGGAGCAUAUGGAAGGUGCGUUCUCUGCUAGUGAACCACCGUACAUUUAUUUUGAUGGGAGUAGAGUUGAGCGUAAUACGAGCAUUUCCGAGAGAAUGUAAGAAAAUAUAAGAUCGCUACGUACAGUGAGCGACAGGGCAUGCGCGUGGUAGUCUUGUCGAUCGAGACAUUCAAUUAUGAUCGCAGGCCCAGGCCGAGCCACGAUGGAUCGGAGCCAGUCGGCAUCCAUCCACAUCAGUCCCGUCCCGUUCGUCGAGCAGGCCCUUCCGUCCGUCCAUCCCACACGAGCGAGAGACAGACCAUCGCCACCACGGCACCCACGUCCUGUCAGCACGUAGUCCAUCGUUGCCUGCCUACCUAUCCCCAUCCCCAACCCGGCAACCCCAACCAAACGACGCCAGCUAUCCACAUGCUGACAUGCACGGGCCUUUUGUGGCUGGGAUUAGUGCACGAUGCAAGUGCAAGUGAAAUACCUACGCAAGUUGGGGGGAAAGACGGACACGUAGCACGCUCUGCACGCCCGAUUAAUAACAGCCACAUAACGACCUGUUGUUGUACACGACGUGCUGGCCUUUUGUUUGGAAAAGCACAGAGCUGCACCGAAAACCUGUUUUCUGAGCCAGAUUGGUGAUUACUAGUUAGCAUUCUCAGCGUGGAAACCUCGUUCGUGCCAGUAAUCAGAUAGGCAACACAACCACAACGAGAAUAGGGAAGGUUAUUCAUGCCGGCGUAGAAUCUAGCAUGAAUAACGACUCGCUGAUGGGAAUAUCACACCUGCACGGAAUCGGUGCUAAUCGAUGCCAAGAAAGAUAAUUACCUAUGACUACCAGUAUUUGAUAAGCGCCGGUAGCAAUACUUCUCCACCCCUACCGAUGUAAUUUUGGGUCGGCAGGUUCGUUAACCUAUGACUAUCGGUGUAAUUUCGUGCCAGUUAGAAUAUUGUCAAAAGAAUUCUCUCUCUAUAUACACACACCCAGGGUACAUAAUAGUUUAUUCCGUACCCGAGCCCUGUCCCCUCCCCACACACGCGAGCGAACCAGUCCUUCCGGACCCGGGUUUUUUUUACGGGCGACAAGAACCCCGCACACGCGAGCGAACUAGUCCAUCUAUUGGAACCGCUGUUCCGACGCCGUCUCCCCGCAUCGACGACGAUGCUGCGACCCGGCAUCGCUCCGACGGAGAACGCCACCCCGACCAGCCGGACACCGCCACCGCUGUUCCGACGGCAGCCACGCCAGGAGGAGGACGACGCUGCGGCCCCGGCAUCACUCCAGUGGAGAACGCUGCCCGGACGAGCAGGACUCCGCCACCGCUGUUCCGUCGGGAGCCACGCCUAGAGGAGGACGACGCUACGGCCCAGCAUCGCUCCGGUGGAGAACGCCGCCCUGACCAACAGAACACCGCCACCGCUGUUCCGCCGGCAGCCACGCCAGGAGGAGGACGACGCUGCGACCCCCGCAUCAACGCGCCCUAUUCAACCCCGCCGCCGUCUCUCCGAGCAGGACGCUGCUGGUUCACCGUCUACGAUGCCCCCACAUCAACAUGCCUGCAUUUAACCCCGCCGCUGUCUCCCCGAGUAGGACGCCGCUAGUUCGCCAUCUACAAUGCCCCCGCAUCAAUGUGCCCGUAUUCAACCCCGCCGCCGUCUCCCUGAGCAAGACGCCCCCCAUCAGGACUCCAAAAUUGCCAGCAACCUUCUAGCUACGAAGUAUCCUGGGAAGGAGCUUGUGCAGCGGUAUGGUUUUGCUUCUCUAUGCCUUUCUGUCAUUGCCUUCACUCAAGCUUCUGAGUAUACCUCUGUUUAACAUAAAUCUAUUGAAAUUGAUGAUGUUUGUGUAUGUUUCAUUUGCUGCAACAUUUUACAACCUGUUUCUGUUGUAACCACUUUUUAAUUUGAAGACCCAGUUGAUGUUUUCAAUUCCCAACCAGAAUAGGAAAACAGAUUGAUUGCUCAGUUAACGAGCAUGAUCUCCAUUCAUUUCAGUUCCGCCGGCAGCCACGCCCAGCAAGACAGUGAUGGGUUGUCGGAAGCUAUUGUUUCAAGAAGCAGAACCGAAUAGGGAGAAGUCCGCUGAUAGCCCUUCACCGGCAAGGCUUGAUAUGAAUGACAUGAAUGUUGCCGUCGACGUGCAACAUUCAGAAGUGCCGGAAAGGUCACCGUGUGGUUCAGAACCAUCAAAACUGGGAGGACGAGGCACUAUGGACUCCUGCAUCAACGUUCCGGAGGUGGUGGAGAGCUUUAGCGCUAGAUUCAAAACACCCACAUAGACAGCUUGUCGGGAUGGGAGAAGUGAGGGUCAAACCGUUGGAACUAGAAGCCAGGGUGUUGUGUUCUCGCCUCCGGCUACUUUGAACGCAAUCCAGAUGAAUGCUAGUGAAGAAGAACUUCCGCCACAAACACAAGUAAGUGAUGCAUGGUUAACCUUUUUUCUGAAUUUUUGAAAGCAGUGAUGCAUGGUUAAUAAACACGACUGCUUGUGAGUAGUCAAUGAAAAUAUAUAUUAUGUCAUAUGUUCAGUCUGUGAUGCUAAUCGAAUUUUCUACCUAAGAUUGAUUCGUAUGCUGGUGCGUUAGUGGUGGUGGUGUUAUGUUUGUCCGUUGUCGAUCACCAAAUUGCUUUCAGUAUGUGAUGUUAAUUGAAAUUAUUGUCAUUUGAAGCAGAAGGAAAGCAUGGACUCAGUAUUGAUUCCCAGAGAAGGGAUGUCAUUCCACUCAGAAGUGGAAGCAAAGGAGUUCUUCAUGAGAUAUGCACAACUGGCCGGGUUCGGCGUGAAAAUGGGCAACUAGAAAACAUUCUCUAGAGUGAUAAGGUGUAGCUGUGAAGGAAAAUGAGAUUAUUAUAAAGGUGAUGAGGCUCUGCGAGUACGGAACAAGACGACAAUGAAGAUGAAGUGCAAUGCACAUCUGAAGUUUACGAGAGUUUAUGACAAUGAAGGCAACAAAGUAGAUAUGGUUAUAGAAAAGAUAAACUUAUUUCACAACCACAUGCUGCAUACGCCUUUGAAGACCAAGCAAAUGAGGUCGCACAAGAUCACAGAGCCAAUACUUUAUCGAAUUAUUGAUGAAUUGCAGGUAGCCGGCGUGAGUACGCAAAGUAUAAAGAACGUACUUCAUGCACGGAGGGUAGAACUUGUUCUGAUAACAGCGCGGGACAUAGAGAACAUGUAAGAGAACCUCACACAGUAUGUUAUUUGGAAUUGCAUAUGAGACAACCCCUGGAAUGGCUAAUAUGUUUAGGAUAGUGCAAUUAUGCAAGGUUAUGGAGUGAAACAAAUGUGGUGGUGGAUCUAUUCCUGAUAGAAAGGUUCAUGUCAUUAAGAUUUUGAUUUGCAGCUUAGUGAAAAAUGAAGCUAAAGUGUGUGAUCAUUGGUGUCAUUAAUCAAAUAGACUUCCAAUUUUGAAGGAUGAUAUGUUGACUUGUUAUACAUGUUUUACAGGAAGGCUAUGAAUGUACAGGCAGAGCACGCAGACGCCAUUAACAAGCUUAUUGAGUUCUUCAAGGAUUGUGAGGCUCAGAACCCGCAGUUCCGAUGGGAAUGCAAGUUGGACUCUGAAGGUGUUAUACACAGUUUAUUCUGGAGUCAUGCAAGCAUGCAAGGGGAUUAUGCAUAUUUUGGGGAUGCAAUGAGCUUUGACACAACUCAUAAGACUAAUAUUUAUGAGAAACCACUAGAGAUGUUUGUUGGAUCUAACCACCAUCUACAGAACACAUUGUUUGGAUGCGCACUGCUGGGAGAUGAAACAGCUGAAACUUUUGAGUGGGUGUUCAAAGCAUUCAAAAAUGCAUGGGAGGAAAUAGAACAAGGUGUAUCCUCACAGGUAAUAUGUUCAUUAUGGAUAUUCAGGAUAAAAUUAUUUGAUACUUGAGCAUGUACAACAUUUUAGAGCAAGUAAAGAACUAACAUUGAUGAAUUUGCAUCUUGUGGUAGACCAAGAUCAAGCAAUGGGUGUGGCUAUUGCCAAAAAGUUCUCAGGGGUUGUUCAUAAGAUUUGCAGAUGGCAUGUGGUGAACAAGCACAUGCCACAACUGACCAACCUGUUUGGGAUGUAUGCGAAGAUAAAUUUUAAGGAUAAAUUUUAUUCUAUGCUAAACCACCCCCUCACGUCAAUGGAGUUUGAGGCUACUUGGCCGGAACUACUGGAUGAGUUUGACCUACAUAAGGAUAGCACUUUAGAUAGCCUUUACCGCCAGCGAGAAUUGUAUGUACCGGCAUAUUUCAAAGACCAAUAUUGUGGCAGGAUGGCAUCAACACAGCGAAGCGAGAGCUCAAAUUUUGUGAUGAAGAGUUGUUUUGUUGACAAGCAUACAACUUUGCAUAGGUUCGCUAAAAAAACGCUUGACUUCGUGCAUUCAAGGAAGAUGAAGGAGUCUGAAGAGACGUACCAUGGAACGGUAAUGUAACCAGCUUGUCAAUUACUUAUUUAUAGAGUGUGUGAUUAAAUAUCAAUUUAUUAACUAACUGUUGUGCUUGUACUGUGACAGAGCAAGAGGCUCACAAGAAGCAUGUGGCCAUUUGAAAUCCAUGUUUCAAGGAUUUAUACUAGAAAUGUGUUCAAUGACUUUGAAAAGAAGAUAAUCGAUUGCACAGUAUUUAAUAUAGAAGACGAUCCAAUAGAGGGAGAAAAUUGCUAUUUCGUAACUCACACAAAUAGGUCUUCGAAAAUAUCUUGGGGGCAGCACCAGUUCAAAGUCAAUGCAAACAAAGAAAAUGGCGACUUUCAUUGCGAGUGCAAGGAGUGGCAGCAUACAGGUACAUGAUAAAAUAUUUCAAUAUUCAUAAUGUACAUCCCAAUUUCGUAUUUACAGUUCAUAUACUCUCUCUGUUAUUUAGGUUUGUUCUGUGUGCACUUGUUGAGAGCCUUCGUGAGGAUCCAGCUAAAAAAUACCAGAACAUUGCAUUCUCCGUAGAUACACAAAAUAUGCACAACAGGAGUUGGGAUUCGACAGGAAUGUCAAGCUCCUAGUUGGGGCUGAUGGAAUCAUGCAGUUGUACAGAAUCAAGGAUCUAACGACACUAGCAAUGGCCGCAGUCAGGUCUGCACACCUUAGAUCAAGAGAGGUGUUGGCAAACCUUGACAAAGAAAACAAAGAAAUACCCCCAGACAUCGGCCUAAGAUCAAGAAGCGGGUGCCAAGAAGCACCUGGAGAGGUAAUAAUCUAAAAGUUGCAUCAAGUCUAGGUUGCAUGGCAAGGCACUUAGCCACAUACAUCUCAAUUUGAUUUUGCAGGAGUUAUCAGUAUGUAGCGAAAGUAAUGAUGGCUCUGGUGAGAACGCAAAUGAUCAACAAUUGGCGAAAAAGGUAACUCAAGUGGUAUUGUAUCAGAUAAUAGGUGUAGGCGAGUUAACACAGUAGGAAAGAUGAUUUUCACAAUAUCAAUGACGCAAUGUGAAGCAGGAAAUGGCACAAGCAAACGUGGAUGGAAAUGAAGCCAAAGAGAGGAUAAAGAGGAAACUGGUUCUUGUAGCAGAUCUGGUAUGAUUUAUAAUGCAUGUAGUAUAAAUACCGGAAAAGACACAAGUUAGCUUGAAGAUCAACCAGAAAUAGAAAAAAGUAUGUGAUUAUUGUAUUUCAGGAUGCUUUUGGCGGAGACGCUGUGCGCAACGUGGUUGUGCGAACCAACCAAACAGACAUGACAACUGAAGAUGGAAUAAGUGUUUUGAUUACAUUUCCGUACUCAAAGUGUUUAUGUUCGUUACUAGUUGUAAAGAGACAUAAAAACCUUAUAAACACUUUUUGGUGGUUUAGAUAUGGCAAAAGUAGAGGUUCCAAAUUUGCCAAACCAGAUUUCUAAUUUUGGGUGCCAUAUGACUCUAACGGCUAACUAAUUUGGCAAACCAAAGGAUCUAGUUUUUACUAAUCUAAUGGCUAGUUUGUGUGGAGCUGAGUAUUUAUACUCCUCAUCCACUCCUUUGGCUCAUUGCUAUUGCUAUUGUUGCUGCCUAAGAGAAAGCAUAGUUGAGCUCUCAUCAACCCCUAUUUGUGAGGUUGAGUGAUCCCUGUGGGAUCUAGUGAGUUGGAUGUGAGAUAGAAGUUUAUGAGCAUUAGAGAGCACUCAAACUCUUGAGCACUAUUGAGCUUUGUCAAGUUAAUUUCCAAGUUAAGUAUUUGUUACUUUUGGAGGCCAAGCCUCCUAGACAGUUAAACAGCCCCGAUGAGUUCCCAAGCUUGUGAUGAGCCUCAGGAAGUUUUUGCACGUCUUGCUUUGCCUUCGCAAGGGAAGAAGCUAAGUAGUGAAUUGAGGAAAGCGGUUGAAACUAAUCCGACUCAAAGAAGGAAGUUGAAAGAGACUCAUAUCCUUAAUUAGAGCUUCUCAGCGGAGACGUAGGCUUCAUAGUGGUGAAUCUAAACUUCGAGAAGAAAAACUUUAUCUCUCCCUACCAACUUGCUUGCACUGUUGUACUUGUCCAUAUUAUUAUGAAUUUGGUUGAUCGACUAAGGUUUUGUGAGUGUAGAGACUUGGUCAACCUACUAAGAAAUACUUCCGGAUCUUACUCUUCAAAUUUGAUUUGGAGUAAAACUCGUUUGUGGGGUUAUUCAUUUUGGUUGCCUCUGGUCAGCUCAAACCGGAGCUUCCAGUUUUGCAAAAUAAUGCAGGGUAUAUUUAAUCCGCUAUGUUCAGUUCAUUUCAGGUUAGGCCUAUUCAACACCCCUCCCCCCUUAGGAGACAUAUCGGUCCUUUCAAUUGGUAUAGAGCUUGGUCUCAUUAUCAAGCUCAACCGUAGUGAGAAAAUGUAUCAACAGAUGAGUAUGUUUGAUCCGAUCCUCUCAUGUUUGAUGGCUCUAACUAUCAACCAUGGAGUUAUAUUUUUCCAAGUAUUUUAAAUCUUGUUGUUAUCUUGUUUAGUCAAUUAUGGAUGUAAGCAUGCUUUUUGUAGUAUCGAUUGGUAUCCCACUAAGUAAUAAGUCGAAGGCUGCACAUAAUAGGUGCACAUGCUGUUAUUUCCCUUAACAACUGCGAAAGUACCCAAGUAGAAAAAAAUCCGAGUAGUGAAGCUUUGCUCCAUGAAAAAGACGAACUCAAGUCACCUAAUACACAUGCUUGGAGCAUUUCCAUAAGUUUUCCAAUAAAUAUUUCAUAAUAAGUAGUUAAUAGGGACCGUUAUUGAGAGAGUUGCUUUUGCAGUUUUCCAAUAAUCUCAUCCCAAUCCAACUACCUUAUUGGGAGAGUCACAAAUCCUCCUUUAUUUAGGAAGAGUUGGGGUGAAUUAUUAGGUUAUCUGGUUGUCCCAAUAAUUAUUGGGAAAAGGGAAAAGUAAGAAGUUGGAUUGGGGAAAGGGAGAUUGUUAGAGAUGCUCUUAGGAAAAGAGUCAUGAGUGGGGGCUAUGACUAGUCGGGCAAGAGUGACGCAAGAAAUCUACUACUCCAGAAAAUUAAGAUCAAUAAGAGUGAAACAUGUAUCUGCAAGAAUUACAGAGCACUUAGAUUUUCUACCGAGUGAAUGUUGUUUUACGCCGGAUACUACUCAUCCUACGUGUAUGUAAUGCAGGGUCUAGAACGAGACACACGCUUAUGAUUCAGAUGGAUGUAAUGCUAAAGCGUCUACAAUACACCACAAUUAUCCUAAUUAUAGUAGUUAUACCUUAAUUUUAUAAAGCAUGUGAUACCUAUUUAAUCGCCAAAAUUGACAAAAUUAAUCGUGAAUAUAGUCUAGAUAUAUUUUUGGUGUUCACAUUUGACAUUGGUUUGGGAAGGUCGAUGCCGUAUCAUACUCACGGAAAACGUAUGCACCAAGAAUUCAUUAAACAACACAUCAUAUUCGAAUAACUAAUCAUCCUAUGUGUAUAAUAGUUUUAAGCACAUGUCAUUUGAGCUCUAAACACCAAAGGUCAAUUCAAAUAUAUAGUUUUGAUUUGAUUGACGUUCACCUUUUUGCUACUGCCAAGGUCAAUGUCAAAUGUAUCGUGCCUGGUUGAGUGACCUUCUUUUUUCCACGCUAUGCCCGAAUUUCAUUACUAAUAAAAGCAACGAAAUUAUCGCAUCAUCUGAGUGCCGGGUUGAGCGACCUACAAUGCCAUUAUUCACACACUAUUGUCUUUAAUCAUCUUUUAUUCCUUUUUUUUAAAGAAAGACACCCAAAAAGGUUCAUCUUUGAGACUUUGAUAUUUAUCAAAGAAAAUAAAAAGCAAUAUAAAAGAAGGACAACUUACGCACAAAUCGACCUCAAAAAAAUUACACAGGGGUCGUUUUCUUUCUUUGUCUUUUUGCCCCCGAGUGAAACAGGCGUCGUUUUCUUUUGAUUUCAUGCGCUCGCUCUCAUGGGGUCGGGUGGCGGUCAAAUGCAUGUGGCCCAUGGGCUUUAGUGGAGUUGGGCUGAGCCCGUUAUUGUAACCGGAUAAAUACUUCUGGCUGCUGAUUUGCGACCAUAGACGAAGAAAUAGACAAAUCCUUACAACUUUAUCUCUCGUGUUCUUCCUCCUCCCUCCUUCCCCGAGCCCCUAAAUUCUGCUCCAAUUUCUGUGAUUGACCUCUAAUUCCCUGCUGAGUUCCCCGAAUCGGGUUAGGAUUUUUGCACCCCUCCUCCACCGCACCCUCAGAUCGAUACCAAACCCCUCCUCAGUCCUCACCCUGCCCACUCCGCUGACCCCAACCCCUAAAAUCCCUCAAUCCCCAACCGAGCCCGCCUGCGGCCGGAGCCCGUCGAUUCCAUUCGGAUUAGAGCUCCCGCCGCUGAGGCGAUUAGCCUGAAUCGGCUGAUUCGAUGCGAAUUUGCGUGUUCCGGGUGCGCGAAGAGCAGAGGCCCGCGGAUCUAGGGUUGCUCCAGGCGAUCUGGUGAUGGUGGUGCGCCGCGGCGCCGGAGCUCGGCGAGGAGGAGGGAUCGGCAGCGGCAGCGUGGAAGAUGCAGCGAGCCGGCUAUGCAUGGGUGGCGCGGCGGUGAGGGGUGCGACGGCAGGAGGCGGCGUCUCGUUCGGCUCAUGUGGCCAGCCGCACGCGUAGAGGCAGAAGCUCCAUCGCCACCGGCACAAGGACCAGCUACUUCUCCUUCCCGUUCAUCUGUUCUCCCCCCUCGAACGACUUCUUAUCCGCCAGCAGCGGCGGCGGCACGGGAGCAAGGGUGCGUCAAUUCUCCCCGUCCAGGGUCACCUGGCUCCUUUAUAAAGGUGCGUCUAUGUUGGGAAUCGCUUUGGAAUUUGCUCGCUAACCUGGAUGAGAUUUAGUGGAUUUGAGCAUGCUAUUUUUGUCAAAUCGUUAUUAUCUGUCACUGCUUGGACUAUAUCUGCUAUAUGAAGUACAACUAGACUAGAUUUCACUGUAGCUGGGAAAUUGGAGACAGUAGAGUGAGAUGUAUCAGGAAAAUUGUUUUGAGUAACUGAUGUGUCGGUUGCGGUUGUAACAUGCUAGUAUGUAUAUAUUUAAAUGGAGUUCACUAUGUAUCAUUGGUUUCAGUCUGUGGCCAUCUUACCCUCUGCUCGACAAUUUUGGCACGUGACAUCAUUCCCUGUUAGUUUGAGGAGUGGUACAGCUUAUUUUUUUUAAAAAAAAUCAAUGGAUUGUGAAGAAGUAGCAUCCAGUCAAUACGCGUGUAAGGUGUAAAACAUUACUUAGUUUCGUAUUGAUUAAGUGAUGCCAUUACUUGCGGCAAAUAGUGUAAGCCAUACCUUGCCUGUGCUGGUCUUCAUUGAAAUUGCUCGCUUUACUAUUGUUUGUUCAUUCAUUGUUUGAUUGCAAAUGUAAACCACACAGGAAGGUUGCAAUAUUAAACUUCUACUCAAACUAACAAGAGCACGACAUAACUAACAUGAAAGGAUGUUUUGCGCUCCUUCAGAAAAUAAUAAGUUACUUUUUAAUUUUCAGGACGGGCGUGAGAUUCAAGUUGGUGAUUGUGCUCUUUUUCGGGCUGUUGAUGUUCCUCCAUUCAUCGGAUUGAUACGUUGGAUUGAGAAAAAAGAAGGAGGCUAUCCCAAACUACGCGUUAGUUGGCUUUAUAGACCUGCCGACAUCAAGCUUAACAAGGGCAUUCAACUCAACGCUGCACCAAACGAGAUCUUCUACUCUUUCCACCAGGACGAGGCAUCUGCUGUUUCCCUGCUGCAUCCUUGCAAAGUUGCCUUUUUACGUAAAGGCGUUGAGCUCCCAGCUGGAAUUUCUUCAUUUGUAUGUCGGCGCGUAUAUGAUAUUGACAACAAGUGUUUAUGGUGGCUUACAGAUCGGGAUUAUAUUAAUGUAGGUCCAUUAUUUAUUUCCUCUUUCAUCUAUCUGUUAUAUAUAUUUAUAGUGCUGUUUCAUGUCUGUUUUCUCUACCAGGAACGGCAGGAUGAAGUAAAUCGCCUUCUAUAUAGAACAAGGCUAGAAAUGCAUGCUGCGGUGCAGUCAGGUGGACGGUCUCCAAAGCGUCUAAAUGGUCCGUCAGCAUCCCAACAACUGAAGGCUGCUCCGGAUGGUACACAGAAUUGUGGUUUAUCUAAAGGAAAGAAGAGAGAGAGAGGUGAGCAAGGAAUUGAUCCAGAUAAGCGGGAUCAAGAUCGUCUGCUUGUCGAUGACAGUGAGCCUGGAAGCAAGUUGGACGAUAUGAAGUCUGAAAUAGAAAAAUUUGAAAAAGGUGGACUUCCAAAUGCAGAAGCAGUUGAAAAGCUUGUGCAUCUUAUGCAACUUGAUCAGACUGAACAGAGGAUAGACCUAGCUGGUCGGAUUAUGCUUGCUGAUGUUAUUGCAGCUACAGAGAGCACUGAUUAUCUUGGCAGAUUUGUGCAAUCAAGAGGCCUUCCUGUGUUGGAUAGUUGGCUUCAGGAGGCUCAUAAAGGGAAGUCUGGUGAUGGGAGUAAAGGAGAUAAGCCUAUUGAUGACCUUCUCUUGUCCCUGCUUCGUGCACUAGCUAAAUUGCCUAUUAAUCUCAGUGCACUGCAAAGUUGUAGCAUUGGAAAAUCUGUCAAUCAUCUGCGCGGCCAUAAAAAUCUGGAGAUUCAGAAGAAAGCUAAGUGUCUUGUUGAGAACUGGAAGAAGCGUGUUGAUGCUGAAAUGAAGUCAAAUGAUGCCAAAGCUUUAAUAUCUGGUCAAUCUGCUUCCUGGCCAGGAAAAGCAGGGUUCCAAGAAAUUUCAAAUGCUGGAAACAAGCGAGGUGGCUCAAGUGAGCAUAGCCCGAAAAAUCCAGCAUCAACUGUUUCAUCACCAAAGGUUUUGACUGAUAAACCUGGGGGCACAGAUGCUGUUAUGAAGUUGAAUCAUGUAGUUUCUGUCUCUUCAAAAGGACAACAUAUGCAACCAGGAAAUGUUGCUGCCAAUUCGAAGGAGCAGCCCUGCAAAUCAAUUGGCGGUUCUGAACUGCCUACUGUGAAAGAGGAGAAAAGCAGUAGCUCAAGCCAAUCACCGAACAAUAGCCAGUCAUGCUCUAGUGAGCCAUCCAAGGAUGCUAGAAGUUCAACUGCCGCUUCUGGUGGUGCUACUAAAACUUCUGGAAGUUCUUCACGGGGCCAUCGAAGAGCAAAUAAUGGUCUUGUUUCAGGAAAUCUGAAGGAAGCUUCUGUGGGAAGAUCUGCCUCCCUUGAUCGACCUUUGCUACCAGAUAAAUCAUCUCAAACUGGAACAGCUUCUGAAAAAGGAGUUGACAUACUGGCUGAUCAUGGAAAUAAUCAUAGAUUGAUUGUUCGGUUUCCAAAUCCUGGGCGUAGUCCUGCUAGAAGCACGAGUGGAGGAUCUUUCGAGGAUCCAUCUGUUACUGGGGGUACAGCUUCAUCUCCUGUGGUUGCAGAUAGACAUGAGCAAACUGAUCGCAGAGUGAAAAUGAAGACUGAAAUUUCUCGACCUCAUUUAGCUUCUGAUGCUAAUACGGAGUCUUGGCAGAGCAAUGGUAUUAAAGGAGCUGCAGGUUCUGAGGAAGGUGAUAAAUCACCAUGUGCUAUAUUGGAUGAUGACAACAGCAGGACAGCUGAGGAUUCUGGAAAGGACACACAUGCAUCACGGGUUGCAUGUUUGUCAUAUAUGAACGAAAAAGGUGUCUGUUCAAGUGAAACCAGGGUGGGAAACUCAUUCAGCCCAAUGAAUGCUCUGAUUGAAAUUAAGUAUUCUGAAGCUAGUCAUUCCUUGCAACCUGGGGAUGACACAGCUAUGAAUCUUCUUGCUAGUGUUGCAGGAGAAAUAUCUAAAUCUGAAUUGGUUUCCCCAUCUUCUUCCCCCGGAAGUUCAUCUGCAAAGAAAUUGGUCUGUGAGGGUGACAAUACUGGAAAGUGUAAAGCAGAAACUGAUGUUGGGCCUGUACAGGAUCCAGGGCCGACAAUACUGGAAAAUGAUGCUUUGGUUGCAAAGGAGGAACAACGCCAAACUGUGCCAUCUCCUGAGAUAGCGGAUUCUAAAGCGGUUGGACCUCCAGCCAAAGUUGAAAUCCAUGAAGGGUGUGCUAACAAAUGUAACUCUCAGCCUGCUUCAGUCGAU